GAUGAACGCUGGCGGCGUGCCUAAUACAUGCAAGUCGAGCGAACAGACGAGGAGCUUGCUCCUCUGACGUUAGCGGCGGACGGGUGAGUAACACGUGGAUAACCUACCUAUAAGACUGGGAUAACUUCGGGAAACCGGAGCUAAUACCGGAUAAUAUAUUGAACCGCAUGGUUCAAUAGUGAAAGACGGUUUUGCUGUCACUUAUAGAUGGAUCCGCGCCGCAUUAGCUAGUUGAUAAGGUAACGGCUUACCAAGGCAACGAUGCGUAGCCGACCUGAGAGGGUGAUCGGCCACACUGGAACUGAGACACGGUCCAGACUCCUACGGGAGGCAGCAGUAGGGAAUCUUCCGCAAUGGGCGAAAGCCUGACGGAGCAACGCCGCGUGAGUGAUGAAGGUCUUCGGAUCGUAAAACUCUGUUAUUAGGGAAGAACAAAUGUGUAAGUAACUAUGCACGUCUUGACGGUACCUAAGCAGAAAGCCACGGCUAACUACGU
rnacentral:rRNA from 1 species